AUGGCGCUGAGCAACCUGCUCUUCGCCCAGUGCGUCGGCUACUUCCUGGCCUUCCUCUGCAGCUUCGUGGUGGUGGUGCCGCUGUCCGAGAACAGCAACGACUGCCGCGGCCGCUGCCUGCUCUUCACCGAGGGCAUGUGGCUCAGCGCCAACCUGACGGCGGAGCGGCAGCGCUUCACCGUGCAGGAGUGGGGGCCGCCGGCCGCCUGCCGCUUCAGCGUCUUCGCCGGGCUGCUCUCCCUGCUGCUGGCCGCCGCGCAGGCCUGGCGGACGCUCUUCUUCCUCUGCAAGGGCCACGAGGACUCUUUCUUUUAUGCCUUCCUGAAUCUGCUGAUCAGCGUCUUUGUGGUUUUUGUCAUCUUUAUUGCUAGCACUAUAGUGAGCGUAGGAUUUAACAUGUGGUGUGAUGCUGUUACCGAAAAAGGAAGCAUGCCAAAUAGCUGUGAAGAACUACAGGAUAUAGAUCUUGAACUGAAUUUAGAAACCUCUGCCUUCUAUGAUCAGUUUGCUAUUGCACAGUUUGGUCUCUGGGCUGCCUGGCUGACUUGGCUGGGAAUUACCAUUUUGGCCUUCCUGAAGGUUUAUCACAACUACAGGCAGGAAGAUCUGCUAGACAGCCUGAUCCAUGAGAAGGAGCUGCUACUAGGACGAUCCUCUUCACGAACCUUUUUGCAGGAUGAGAAAAGUGGCAUGAUCUAAUGUGUAAGCCACUCGACAGUGCAGGUUGUAAAUUUUGCAAUUCAUUAUCACAAGCUGAAAUCAAGAGAAUUGGAACUGCUCAUGGGAACUGGAAAAUGCACCAUCCACAUAAAUCAGAAUGCAAGUGAAUAGCAAAGAAAGUUGUUAAUGUAUUUCACAUGAGGAAUUUAAACAUCCAUGUUCAAAGCAUGAAGGUCCCAGUUCUUCAGUCCCUAAGUAGCCAAAACUAGCAGUCACUUCAGUCUUAGUGUUACCCAUGUGGUCAGUGUUGGUGAUAGCUUUACAUACAGGAGGUGAAACAAGUCUUUUUGAGAAAUGUGCUGAUCUACUCUCAGCUUUUGUAGGGCUUUAACUAUAUCAGUCUGACCCCCAGUUAUAGACACAGUUAUACUGGUGUAAAAGUGCUUAGGUCGAUAUAACACUCAAUUUUUUUCCUGAGUUAGCAAACUGAAAUAUCUCUGACUCUGAAAGCUGUGCCUUUAAUUUUGGCAUUUCGAAGUAUAACAAAUAAUGUACGACUGGGCCUUUUCUCUGUGUAGCUUGUGAUUUGUGAAGUAAAACAGAGUGUGUGUUCUAAAAUCACUGUAAAUUCUCCAUUAUUAAAAGGAGAACAUUAACAAGGUCAUUGUAGAUUUAAAGGGUGUGUCUUUAGUAUGUUACUGCCUGCAGAGAUUGAAAGUGUACCUUUACUGCUUGUUUAAUGCGGAGCCUGAAUGCAUCUGAACCUCUUCCAGAUAGAUGUCCUGUGAUUUACAUAUUUGUGAACUACUGUCUCUUCUUUUCUUGUAUCCACUUGGAAAAAGCUUUGAGAGCCUAGAUGAACAUUAUUUUUUCCUGCUAAAGAGGUCUGUGCAAUAGCUUCUUUAACAAUUUUAACAGUUUUCAUAGUUCUUUUAAUCUCUAAAACCAAGAGUGGGCCAGAUCCUUAACUGGGGUAUGUGGCAUAGAUCCAUUUACAUCACUGGAGCCAGGCCUGUUUACACCGACUGAGGAUAUGGCCCAAUAUAUUUUAAAUAUUAGCACUCAUGCAUUAUGCUAUCUAUUGCUGUGUUUAUUAACUGCUGAUUUGGUGGGGUAAACUGCAUGCAAUUUCACAGAACUGCAGAGUCUGAAUAAUGUUUGUUGUUGUUGUUUUUAUACAGUAGUGAAAUGGAUGCAGUUUACUUGUGGCAAAUCAGUUACUAGCAUUUUAAUAGAAUACUUUGUAAACAUUUGGCAAAAUGGAAAUAAUGAGCCUGAUCCUUCUGCCAGUGAAAUCACUGGCAAAAUUUGCGCUGGCUUUGAGGGGACCAGGAUUGGGGUCAGUGUAACUAAUGUGCCCUAGUAUUAUUGUUACUGAAUGAAUGUGUUUUUAUAUUGAAUGCUUUUUGCU